AGGCACACUGCGGGGAGAGGGAGCAGGAUGGGGCUGAGUUUGGGGCUGUGAACCAGCCCUGAAUACAAGACUUCCCCUGCCUCCCAUCAUAGAAUCGUUAAGGUUGGAAUAGGACCUCUAAGAUUAUCUAGUCCAAGCGUCAAACAUCACCACCAUGCCCAGCAAACCAUGUCCCAGUGCUCAUUUCUCUUUGCCCCAUCCUGCAGGUUGGUCUCUUUUCAUACACUCAGCACCAAGAUCCCCUCCUGAAAGUAGCAGCAUCCCCAGGGACUUACACACGUGGCUUCAAACAAGUGGAAGACGACGUAGACAGGCAUGACCCAGGCCACCAAGUCGAUGAUCUCCCUGCAGACAAAGAGCCAGCAGUUUCUUUUUGGGAGCAAACAUCCAUGGCCGGGAGCUGGGGGCACUCACUUUUCAUUGGUAAAGAUAUAUCCCAGCACGUCCUUUGUGGCAGCUAAAAUGGCUCCUACAGCAAUGCAAAACCCCCCUGGAAAGCAAAACAAGGAGGCAUUACUCACACAAUCCCCAGGUGGAACACAUAGAGGAAGAUGGAGUUGGCGAUCACAUUGACUAUGUUGCCGAUGAGCCCGCUCAGCACCACAGGCCACAUGAUCAUCUGUAACAAGGAGUGAAUGGGGGCUGUCAUCUGCCAUAGCUGAGGGAAGACCCCACCAGCCAGCACCCCAUCCCCACAGCUUUAACAGUGAGAGGAAUCUUCUGGCAUUGAAGGUCCUCAGCCACCCGUCCCCAUAUCCCAGCCCCAUAGCGUGCUCACCGCGAUGGCCAGUGUGACAGAAGCCAGCUCGACCUUGCCCAGGUGGCCACAGA